AGGUAGGAAUACCCGCUGAACUUAAGCAUAUCAAUAAGCGGAGGAAAAGAAACCAACAGGGAUUCCCCUAGUAACGGCGAGUGAAGCGGGAACAGCUCAAAUUUGAAAUCUGGCCCUUGGGUCCGAGUUGUAAUUUGUAGAGGAUGCUUUUGGUGCGGUGCCUUCCGAGUUCCCUGGAACGGGACGCCUUAGAGGGUGAGAGCCCCGUACGGUUGGACGCCUAGCCUCUGUAAAGCUCCUUCGACGAGUCGAGUAGUUUGGGAAUGCUGCUCUAAAUGGGAGGUAUAUUUCUUCUAAAGCUAAAUACUGGCCAGAGACCGAUAGCGCACAAGUAGAGUGAUCGAAAGAUGAAAAGCACUUUGAAAAGAGGGUUAAAUAGCACGUGAAA
rnacentral:rRNA from 1 species